CCAACCUUGACUUCGGCGUGUAGUAAAUAAACUGUACAACGAGGACUCGACGAUUUCUCUCGAAGCUCUAUGUUUUUGUCCCCUCUCCGUCUGUACGAGAUUACUAUCUCUCUCUCUCUUCGAGCCGACAACAGUUUUCCCUCUUUCCUUCUUUCAAUGUUUACUUGAGUCGAUGGGAUCCCAUGUAAACAAUGAACAGCCCGAGAUAAGGAGAAAAGAGAGAGAACGCUGCACUAUUCUUUCAGAAAAACUUCCUUUUCUCGUACCAGGAAAAUUUCAGCGGGGAGACUUUAGAAUUCCUUUUUUCACGAAGAAAUAUGGGUUGUCUUCCGAUUAGCGAUUCGUUCUCGUCUGAAUCACAAUUGUCGCCGAGACACGUCAACAAUACACAGUGACGCGAUGUAUGUGUAUAUAUAUAUAUAUAUAAUAUAUAUAUAUAUGUGUGUAUUAUACAAAGCACGACGGAGAAUCCGCGUACAGGCGCGUCCGUGCGUAAUCGGACGGGUAUGAUUCACACUGGGCAAAUACGCGGGGCGGCGCGUUAUAUCCUCUCCUCGUUCGCUUUCUCGAAACGUCGUCGGCGGAACGCGGCACGACGAGGAGUCGCGCGCGUCGAAGCGCGGCUGGCUGUUGAAUGAACUGCCCCGCGCGCGAGUACGAGCGUGCGGCUAAUCUACGCGCAUAAACAAACGCACACCAGCGCGCCGCGCAGUAGCAGCUAAGCGUGGCGAUUUUGAACGAAAUUUGAGACAAAGAGGAGGACGGGGAGCGAAGAGAAAGACGAAAGGGCAACACGUCGAUGAGGAAACAGGAGAGGAAGGGAGAAGGGAGGGAAGAAAGGAGGGAGGAGAACAUCGAUGCGCACGGAUCAAGGUUACACUCGGACACCUCCUCUACGUCAUCCCUUGUCGUGUUUAUACGCGCGUGCGCUCAGCGCGCACGCACACA
rnacentral:lncRNA from 1 species